GUUCUGUAAGCCUGUGAAGGUGUGUCGUGAGGCAUGCUGGAGGUAUCAGAAGUGCGAAUGCUGACAUAAGUAACGAUAAAGCGGGUGAAAAGCCCGCUCGCCGGAAGACCAAGGGUUCCUGUCCAACGUUAAUCGGGGCAGGGUGAGUCGACCCCUAAGGCGAGGCCGAAAGGCGUAGUCGAUGGGAAACGGGUUAAUAUUCCCGUACUUGGUGUUACUGCGAAGGGGGGACGGAGAAGGCUAUGUUGGCCGGGCGACGGUUGUCCCGGUUUAAGCGUGUAGGUGUGUGUUCCAGGUAAAUCCGGUUCACUUUAACACUGAGGCGUGACGACGAGGCACUACGGUGCUGAAGCAACAAAUGCCCUGCUUCCAGGAAAAGCCUCUAAGCAUCAGGUAACAUCAAAUCGUACCCCAAACCGACACAGGUGGUCAGGUAGAGAAUACCAAGGCGCUUGAGAGAACUCGGGUGAAGGAACUAGGCAAAAUGGUGCCGUAACUUCGGGAGAAGGCACGCUGACACGUAGGUGAAGUGAUUUACUCACGGAGCUGAAGUCAGU
rnacentral:rRNA from 1 species